CGUCUCGCCCCGGCAGCGCAAGCCAGCGCUCGGGCCACGCCCGCCCACACGACGCACGCCGUCACCACGCCCAGUCCGUGCUCCUUCACGCCCGCUCAUGCAUCGAGGCCGCUCUCCCUCCACCACGUGCCCCGGCGGUGACUCGCAGGAGCCCGGGAGCACCGUGCAUCUUCGAAGGUGAUCUUCCCCCGUGCAACUCUAGGUCCUCGUGAGAUGGGUCAGGCCCCGCCGCCGCCGAUGUCGCACGACCGAAAGCGCCCUCCGGCGGAGACAAGGGAAUGGGCAAGGUAGGGCGGGAAAGGUGGCGGCGAUUUAGGGUUCCU
rnacentral:lncRNA from 1 species